rnacentral:ncRNA from 1 species
UAGCAAAUAUUCAAGUGAGAACUUUGAAAGCCAAAAUGGAGAAGGGUUUCAUGUGAACAGCAGUUGAAUAUGGAUCCAGUUAGUCCUGAGAGAUGUUUGGAAAGGACAGGCCAUGGCCUCUGUUGCCGUCAACCAAUCAAAAGGGAGUCAGGUUCAGAUUCCCAAAACCAGAGUGAUGGAGAGGGGCACCCCAAGGUAUCCAGUGCAGGAACGCGACUGAUCCCAGAUGAACCCCCAUUUGUGUGGUAUGGAAUCUCAGGGGUCUGUACUCCAAAGCCACUCUAAUGAGUAGACAGGAG